ACUAAUUUUUAUUAUAUUAUAUUAAUAAUGUUUUUAUUGUAUUUUUAAACUGAUAAUUUUGCUUGUGGUCUACCAUUUGAUGAAUUUAUUUAUGGUCCAUCAUAUCAAGAACACAAGAUACGAUCAUAAUGUUAAUAGACUACUGGUGUUGAUUCUAAGAGAUAUGUUUGGCUAUAAUCAAGAGAAUGCGAGAAAAAACGCAAAAA